rfam:Nomascus leucogenys chromosome 19, whole genome shotgun sequence.
GUCGCUUUGUAGUUCAUAAGCGCGAUAACUGGGGUUUCACUCUCAUGUGAGACAUGCUUCCCUCAAACCUUGUUACGAAGCUGGCACAGUAUCCAUCUGAUG